CCUGAAUCAGCAUGUGUGUUAGUGGAAGCGUCUGGAAAGGUGCGCGAUACAGGGUGACAGCCCCGUACACAAAAGCGCAUGUGCUGUGAGCUCGAUGAGUAGGGCGGGACACGUGGUAUCCUGUCUGAAUAUGGGGGGACCAUCCUCCAAGGCUAAAUACUCCUGACUGACCGAUAGUGAACCAGUACCGUGAGGGAAAGGCGAAAAGAACCCCGGCGAGGGGAGUGAAAAAGAACCUGAAACCGUGUACGUACAAGCAGUGGGAGC
rnacentral:rRNA from 1 species